GACAGAGGGGGCAAGCGUUGCUCGGAAUCACUGGGCGUAAAGGGCGCGUAGGCGGGAUGGCAAGUCGGUCGUGUAAUCCUUCGGCUCAACCGAAGAACGUCGGCCGAUACUGCCGUUCUUGAGGGAUGCAGAGGAGAUUGGAAUUCCCGGUGUAGCGGUGAAAUGCGUAGAUAUCGGAAGGAACACCAGUGGCGAAAGCGGCUUCCUGGUCCAGCACCGACGUUCAGGCACGAAAGCGUGGGGAGCAAACAGG
rnacentral:rRNA from 1 species